rnacentral:rRNA from 1 species
GGACGGGUGAGUAACACGUGGGUAACCUGCCUGUAAGACUGGGAUAACUCCGGGAAACCGGAGCUAAUACCGGAUAGUUCCUUGAACCGCAUGGUUCAAGGAUGAAAGACGGUUUCGGCUGUCACUUACAGAUGGACCCGCGGCGCAUUAGCUAGUUGGUGAGGUAACGGCUCACCAAGGCGACGAUGCGUAGCCGACCUGAGAGGGUGAUCGGCCACACUGGGACUGAGACACGGCCCAGACUCCUACGGGAGGCAGCAGUAGGGAAUCUUCCGCAAUGGACGAAAGUCUGACGGAGCAACGCCGCGUGAGUGAUGAAGGUUUUCGGAUCGUAAAGCUCUGUUGUUAGGGAAGAACAAGUGCAAGAGUAACUGCUUGCACCUUGACGGUACCUAACCAGAAAGCCACGGCUAACUACGUGCCAGCAGCCGCGGUAAUACGUAGGUGGCAAGCGUUGUCCGGAAUUAUUGGGCGUAAAGGGCUCGCAGGCGGUUUCUUAAGUCUGAUGUGAAAGCCCCCGGCUCAACCGGGGAGGGUCAUUGGAAACUGGGAAACUUGAGUGCAGAAGAGGAGAGUGGAAUUCCACGUGUAGCGGUGAAAUGCGUAGAGAUGUGGAGGAACACCAGUGGCGAAGGCGACUCUCUGGUCUGUAACUGACGCUGAGGAGCGAAAGCGUGGGGAGCGAACAGGAUUAGAUACCCUGGUAGUCCACGCCGUAAACGAUGAGUGCUAAGUGUUAGGGGGUUUCCGCCCCUUAGUGCUGCAGCUAACGCAUUAAGCACUCCGCCUGGGGAGUACGGUCGCAAGACUGAAACUCAAAGGAAUUGACGGGGGCCCGCACAAGCGGUGGAGCAUGUGGUUUAAUUCGAAGCAACGCGAAGAACCUUACCAGGUCUUGACAUCCUCUGACAACCCUAGAGAUAGGGCUUUCCCUUCGGGGACAGAGUGACAGGUGGUGCAUGGUUGUCGUCAGCUCGUGUCGUGAGAUGUUGGGUUAAGUCCCGCAACGAGCGCAACCCUUGAUCUUAGUUGCCAGCAUUCAGUUGGGCACUCUAAGGUGACUGCCGGUGACAAACCGGAGGAAGGUGGGGAUGACGUCAAAUCAUCAUGCCCCUUAUGACCUGGGCUACACACGUGCUACAAUGGACAGAACAAAGGGCUGCGAGACCGCAAGGUUUAGCCAAUCCCACAAAUCUGUUCUCAGUUCGGAUCGCAGUCUGCAACUCGACUGCGUGAAGCUGGAAUCGCUAGU